rnacentral:rRNA from 1 species
UACAGAGGGUGCGAGCGUUAAUCGGAAUUACUGGGCGUAAAGCGCGCGUAGGCGGCUUUGCAAGCCGGAUGUGAAAUCCCCGGGCUUAACCUGGGAACUGCAUUCGGGACUGCAUUGCUAGAGUAUGGGAGAGGGAAGUGGAAUUUCAGGUGUAGCGGUGAAAUGCGUAGAUAUCUGAAGGAACAUCAGUGGCGAAGGCGGCUCUCUGGUCCAUGACUGACGCUGAGGUGCGAAAGCGUGGGGAGCAAACAGG